UUAACCUAUCUAUUCAAUUUUCUGUUUUUAAUACAGGUUUGCGUAGAUGAAACAAAUCUCACCGGUGUUCUUGUCUGAACUAGUUUUGUAUGUUGGUUAACCUAUCUAUUCAAUUUUCUGUUUUUAAUACAGGUUUGCAUAGAUGAAACAAAUCUCACCGGUGUUCGUAUAUCUAUGGUUGUGAGUGUUCCAGUUUUUAGAAUUUUGUUUUGCAUGUGUGUGUGUGUGUGUAAAAUUUUUUUAAUCCUACCAUGGCCCUAGUGUUAAUAUAACUUUAUAUUUUGCAUACUUUCAAAACGGCUUGUUGUACCACUAUUUUUUUUUCUUUUAUGAAACCAAAAACGUUCUUAAUUCUCGUGUUAUGAGAUGUAGGAAAUCUUCAUAGUCUACCACUUGUUCAUCCGUCAAUAAAAUUGGAAAGAACAACGACAGUUCUGUUUGACAUCGUGUAAACGUGACUACCUUAAGUCCCCUUUUUUUGUUUGUUAAUAGUUUGUCGACACAUGACGAGUGUUAUAAUACUUCGUUAUUCUUGUAUUUAUAAUAUAGGUGAAUAAAAGGUAAAUUUUUUGUCAGUGUGUUUUGUAAGUUAACUACAUUUCUUCACUUAUUUUAUUAAUUUACUGACAAUAUGUUGUAGUGACACUUUUGUCCUUGAAAAAAUAUUAACUUAUGUGAGUUUUUCUAGUUAAUUAUUCAUGUGAAUCAGAAAACAAGCAUUAUCAAAAGGAGACAACAUUAUGAAAGGUGUAUUGCUCGUUUUAAUUAACUGCCUGUCAUACCAUCUGUGUUGGUGAAAUAAAACCAUGAUUGAAAUGGAUGGGCACCUCAUAAAAAAAAAAAAACUGACAAUUAUUUUAUUGUGUAUCAAUGCAACUGUACACUUCACCAUGUAACAAACUUGUAGAAGUGCUGAAUCUUCGGGAAGAAAAUCUGUGAAAUUUACAGAUGUUAUCCGUUUUUUAAUGCAAAUCUUUAUGAUGGUGGCUUUUUCCAAAUUAAGAAUUAUUUUGUAUAAUUAGUAAAGUUCUCACUAAUAUACAUAUAUUUUUAAGUUCUAGGAAAAUUGGACUGGUUUCAAAGUUAGCUUAAGAGUUUUCUAAAGACGUUUAUUAUGUUAUGGAAAUAAUUCAAUCAAAAUUAUUCAUUCAGUUACUAUGGAUUGUUUUAUCAAGUCUUCUUUUUUUUGCACUAUUUUAAUGCUUUAAAAUUUAGAUUUGGUAGAAAGAUUAAAGAUGUGAAAAUACUAACUUGUUAAGAUAAGUGAACCUUUUUUUUUUUAAAUAAAGGAUGAAUAAAAGAAUCAUGAUAUUUUCAAUGUAAUGUUUAUAUCUUUGUAAGAAUGGCCAAGAACAACUGCUCAGUCCAAACACCCCAAAGUUGAAUUGUGUAUAGAAAAUUCAUUCGUAGUCUAUUUAUGCAGUGUUCUUGACAAUUAAAACAUCUCGAAUAAAAGUUUGAGUUUUACGAGUGUCUUUUAUUGAAGUGAAAGAAUUAUAGAUUAUUGCAACUCAUGCAAGAGACAAAUGAAAUUACAUGCAUAUUUAGAGAGAGUUAACUUUGUGUUCAUGUUAGAUAUUUUUGAAAACUCAAUGAACUUGUUAAUUAAUUGGUUGUUAUUUUGAAUAUGAUGUAAAUUCAGCUUAAUCUGUUUUUCCUGUAAAGUACUGAGGCCUGUUUUAAUAUUUGUGUAUGUACAUUUUGUAAUUGGUACCAGUACUUUAAAACUUUUGUUUCUAGGUUUUUCCUGGUGUAAACUUAAUUUUAUGGUAAAAGUCUUUGUUUUUGUACUAAUUAUAAUGGAUUUGUUGAAAUAAAUAUGCUUUUGGUUUGAUAA